GUCUUCGGGGUGUAGUGGUCAGCACGCUCGGCGCGUAUUCGAGAGGUCAGUGGUUCGAGUCCCGGCGAGGGCU
rnacentral:tRNA from 1 species